rnacentral:misc_RNA from 1 species
GAUGAAGAACGUAGCGAAAUGCGAUAAGUAAUGUGAAUUGCAGAAUCCAGUGAAUCAUCGAAUCUUUGAACGCACAUUGCGCCCGCCAGCAUUCUGGCGGGCAUGCCUGUUCGAGCGUCAUUUCAACCCUCGACCUCCCUUUGGGGAAGUCGGCGUUGGGGACCGGCAGCACACCGCCGGCCCUGAAAUGGAGUGGCGGCCCGUCCGCGGCGACCUCUGCGUAGUAAACCAACUCGCACCGGAACCCCGACGUGGCCACGCCGUAAAACACCCAACUUCUGAACGUUGACCUCGAAUCAGGUAGGACUACCCGCUGAACUUAAGCAUAUCAAUGAGCGGAGGA